UGCCAGCAGCCGCGGUAAUACGGAGGUCCCGAGCGUUAUUCGGAAUCACUGGGCGUAAAGGGAGCGUAGGCGGCGUGGUAAGUCAGAUGUGAAAGCCCGGGGCUCAACCUCGGAACUGCAUUCGAUACUGCCAUGCUAGAGUAAUGGAGGGGUAACUGGAAUUCUCGGUGUAGCAGUGAAAUGCGUGGAUAUCGAGAGGAAGACCAAUGGCGAAGGCAGGUUACUGGACAUUUACUGACGCUGAGGCUCGAAGGCUAGGGUAGCGAAAGGGAUUAGAUA
rnacentral:rRNA from 1 species